AUUGAACGCUGGCGGCAGGCCUAACACAUGCAAGUCGAGCGGAUGAAGGGAGCUUGCUCCUGGAUUCAGCGGCGGACGGGUGAGUAAUGCCUAGGAAUCUGCCUGGUGGUGGGGGAUAACGUCCGGAAACGGGCGCUAAUACCGCAUACGUCCUGCGGGAGCAAGUGGGGGAUCUUCGGACCUCACGCUAUCAGAUGAGCCUAGGUCGGAUUAGCUAGUUGGGGGGGUAAAGGCCUACCAAGGCGACGAUCCGUAACUGGUCUGAGAGGAUGAUCAGUCACACUGGAACGGAGACACGGUCCAGACUCCUACGGGAGGCAGCAGUGGGGAAUAUUGGACAAUGGGCGAAAGCCUGAUCCAGCCAUGCCGCGUGUGUGAAGAAGGUCUUCGGAUUGUAAAGCACUUUAAGUUGGGAGGAAGGGCAGUAAGUUAAUACCUUGCUGUUUUGACGUUACCAACAGAAUAAGCACCGGCUAACUUCGUG
rnacentral:rRNA from 1 species